GAUGAACGCUGGCGGCGUGCCUAAUACAUGCAAGUCGAGCGAACAGACGAGGAGCUUGCUCCUCUGACGUUAGCGGCGGACGGGUGAGUAACACGUGGAUAACCUACCUAUAAUACUGGGAUAACUUCGGGAAACCGGCGCUAAUACCGGAUAAUAUAUUGAACCGCAUGGUUCAAUAGUGAAAGACGGUUUUGCUGUCACUUAUAGAUGGAUCCGCGCCGCAUUAGCUAGUUGGUAAGGUAACGGCUUACCAAGGCAACGAUGCGUAGCCGACCUGAGAGGGUGAUCGGCCACACUGGAACUGAGACACGGUCCAGACUCCUACGGGAGGCAGCAGAAGGGAAUCUUCCGCAAUGGGCGAAAGCCUGACGGAGCAACGCCGCGUGAGUGAUGAAGGUCUUCGGAUCGUAAAACUCUGUUAUUAGGGAAGAACAAAUGUGUAAGUAACUAUGCACGUCUUGACGGUACCUAAUCAGAAAGCCACGGCUAACUACGUG
rnacentral:rRNA from 1 species